UCGAGAGACCCGUAUAUUGUUUAUGAACAACACACCGUUUUAAGGUUUGGCCUCUUCUUCAAUUUCUGACACCAAAAACAGUUCUUCUGCGUUGUUCCGUUUCCUCUUCUAAUCAGCUGAAACGCUGAGAGUUACAGAUCCAUAGACUUUUUCGUCUUUUUAACUCCAAAGAUCAAUGUGAAGCACGAUCUUACAUUAAAGGCGUGUUUGCUCUCUGUAAGACGGUGUAUCUACACCAAUAUAAAGGUUAGCAUCCAUCACUUGAAUAUCUAUACAUGUCAUUUGUUUUUUCUCUAUCAGACCAAGCUCUCUCUACUUUGCGGUUAUAUGGAAGCGAUCUCUGCUUCACUUCAAAACCCUAAUCUUAUCCCCAAGAUCUCUCUUAAUCUCUUCUGGUCUUUUUUCUGCAACCACCACGGAGAUUCCGGAGCCUUCUUCUGUUUCUGUAAAGGAGGUGCCGGCUAAAUCUCUAACGAAAAGGUCCUAUGUGUCUGAUAACAGAGGAGACGAGACUGAUUUGCCAACUACCACGACGAAUAUCCUUCUUUCAAGAUGCUAAGUGAGUUAAUGGAAAUUGGUAUCUGAAACAAUUCAAGGCAAAACAGAUUAGGAUUCGGUAAUAGUUGCUGGUUAGAUCCCCCGAAGCUCGAAUCUUUAUUUCAGUUCUGCACUCAUUUAUAGGCAAAGAGGAGAAAGUGAGUUGAAAAUAACCCAGAAACAACUGCAAACGGUCUUUUCUCUUCGAUACCUCGAUUAUCCCAUGGUCGUGCUGCAUGAUAGGGUUCUUCGUGGCUUACGCUUUGAUGAAUCCGGAACUUUUGUUGGUAUUGAAAUCUAGAGGUCUGUUUGAACUUUGAAGGUUGAAACAUGGGUUUAAAGAUAUUGUCCAAGAGAUUGAAUCUGAAGUGAGCUGCAAGCUGGAGCAAGGUAAACCUGGGAUGCUGUUAGACAAGAGAUUGAUAAUUUAUAUAUAGUGCCCUUUAAUUGUUUUUUAAAUGUAGCAAGUACCAGCUGAAUCAAAGAUCCUGAAACACUCUUUCGUCAGAACAAAAACUCCACUUAAUUGUUUUUUUUUUCUUUUCCGUUC